rnacentral:rRNA from 1 species
AUUGAACGCUGGCGGCAGGCCUAACACAUGCGAGUCGAGCGGAUGAAGGGAGCUUGCUCCUGGAUUCAGCGGCGGACGGGUGAGUAAUGCCUAGGAAUCUGCCUGGUAGUGGGGGAUAACGUCCGGAAACGGGCGCUAAUACCGCAUACGUCCUGAGGGAGAAAGUGGGGGAUCUUCGGACCUCACGCUAUCAGAUGAGCCUAGGUCGGAUUAGCUAGUUGGUGGGGUAAAGGCCUACCAAGGCGACGAUCCGUAACUGGUCUGAGAGGAUGAUCAGUCACACUGGAACUGAGACACGGUCCAGACUCCUACGGGAGGCAGCAGUGGGGAAUAUUGGACAAUGGGCGAAAGCCUGAUCCAGCCAUGCCGCGUGAGUGAAGAAGGUCUUCGGAUUGUAAAGCACUUUAAGUUGGGAGGAAGAGCAGUAAGUUAAUACCUUGCUGUUUUGACGUUACCAACAGAAUAAGCACCGGCUAACUUCGUG